rnacentral:rRNA from 1 species
AUUGAACGCUGGCGGCAUGCUUUACACAUGCAAGUCGAACGGCAGCGCGGGCUUCGGCCUGGCGGCGAGUGGCGAACGGGUGAGUAAUGCAUCGGAACGUGCCCAGUAGUGGGGGAUAGCCCGGCGAAAGCCGGAUUAAUACCGCAUACGACCUGAGGGUGAAAGCGGGGGACCGAAAGGCCUCGCGCUAUUGGAGCGGCCGAUGUCGGAUUAGCUAGUUGGUGGGGUAAAGGCUUACCAAGGCGACGAUCCGUAGCUGGUCUGAGAGGACGACCAGCCACACUGGGACUGAGACACGGCCCAGACUCCUACGGGAGGCAGCAGUGGGGAAUUUUGGACAAUGGGGGCAACCCUGAUCCAGCCAUGCCGCGUGCGGAAGAAGGCCUUCGGGUUGUAAACCGCCUUUGUUCGGGAAGAAAUCCUCUGGGCUAAUACCCCGGGGGGAUGACGGUACCGGAAGAAUAAGCACCGGCUAACUACGUG